rnacentral:SRP_RNA from 1 species
GCCGGGCGCGGUGGCUCACGCCUGUAAUCCCAGCACUUUGGGAGGCUGAGGCGGGUGGAUCACCUGAGGUCAGGAGUUCGAGACCAGCCUGGCCAACAUGGUGAGACCCUGUCUCUA